CGAAGGCAAGCGGAUCUCUUAAAGCCGUUCUCAGUUCGGACUGUAGGCUGCAACUCGCCUACACGAAGCUGGAAUCGCUAGUAAUCGCGGAUCAGCACGCCGCGGUGAAUACGUUCCCGGGCCUUGUACACACCGCCCGUCACACCAUGAGAGUCUGUAACACCCAAAGCCGGUGGGAUAACCUUUAUAGGAGUCAGCCGUCUAAGGUAGGACAGAUGAUUAGGGUGAAGUCGUAACAAGGUAGC
rnacentral:rRNA from 1 species